rnacentral:lncRNA from 1 species
UGAGAAUUCAAGAUAUCCUCAGCACACAAAAACAUGAACAAGUAUUUACAGCAUAACACUGUUACCUACAAGUAAACAAGAUGGAAGCAUACAAGUUUCAAGGGAACAAUUAAAUGUCAUAUGAUUUUUCGAGUUCAUCCAUCUCCGAUUCACAGGAGGAACUGCUGCUGGAGGAACUACUACUACUUGAUCUGGAUGAGAUACUGGACAAUGAUGGGGAUCUGUCUCUGACACAUUGUCUUUUUGCAGGUGAGUUAUAGUCUCUAUUAUAAUUUUCAUUUGUAUUUCUCUUUCCUGAAUAGGGCAUCUGUGGCCGUGUUGCAAUCCUUCUAGUUGGGCUAUGGUUUUCUUUUGGGUUUCUCUUGUCAAUUAUUAGAUUAUCAAUGUUAGUAAUAAAUUCUUGAAGCUUUCUUUCGGCUGCCUGGCCUCUUUCCCCAGUGACUUAUGGAAGCGCGUAAAGUCAUUUCUGCUUGUAUGACAGACUUGCGAUGGUGUGUUUCUAAGAAACACCUUUGCACAUUUGAGGCAUUUGUAGAUUACUUUGCUGUGUUGUUCAAUGACAUGACUCUUACAUUUUCCCUUUGUGGUAAAGUGCAUGUCCUAACAUAUUUGGCAUGUGAAUC